GGGUCCAGGUUAAUGAAGGAGUGUAUAGGAACAAUGAUAACGCCAAGUCGCAUGCAAAUUCAUGUUUAUUGAGAAGAAAUGUAUGGAUUAUUAAAUAAUUCUGGCAAAUCAAUGAAACGAUUUUAUAUUGUAAAUGAUUGUAAACGACCCUAACAACUUUAGCGUAGCAAACGGGUUGAAAAUUCGCCCCCUUAGUCGCUUAACGUACCUGGAAGAAUCAGACUUGUCAGCCGGAUCAGAACAGAGUUUAUCCAAGAUUUUCACCUCUGUUUUGGGACCAACUUCUGUUCCCUUUCAAAUCUACUGUUCUUCUCUUGUUCUUCUGUUUUUUAUCAUUUGCUCCGGAUGACGUAUCGAUGUUUAUUAUAGCUUCUGUUCUCACGGUCCGGCUCUCCCAC
rnacentral:lncRNA from 1 species